UACAGAGGGUGCGAGCGUUAAUCGGAAUUACUGGGCGUAAAGCGCGCGUAGGCGGACCUGCAAGUCGGGGGUGAAAGCCCGAGGCUCAACCUCGGAACUGCCUUCGAUACUGCGGGUCUCGAGUCCGGGAGAGGUGAGUGGAAUUCCUAGUGUAGAGGUGAAAUUCGUAGAUAUUAAGGAAGAACACCAGUGGCGAAGGCGGCUCCAGCUGGCCGGUACUGACGCUGAGGCGACGAAAGGCGUGGGGAGCAAACAGG
rnacentral:rRNA from 1 species